UACGUAGGGGGCAAGCGUUGUCCGGAUUUACUGGGCGUAAAGAGCGUGUAGGCGGCCACGCAGGUCCGUUGUGAAAACUGGAGGCUCAACUUCCAGCCGUCGACGGAAACCGUGUGGCUAGAGUCCGGAAGAGGAGAGUGGAAUUCCUGGUGUAGCGGUGAAAUGCGCAGAUAUCAGGAAGAACACCAAUGGCGAAGGCAGCUCUCUGGGACGGUACUGACGCUGAGAAGCGAAAGCAUGGGGAGCGAACAGG
rnacentral:rRNA from 1 species